rnacentral:rRNA from 1 species
AUUGAACGCUGGCGGCAGGCCUAACACAUGCAAGUCGAGCGGGGUUUUCGGACCUAGCGGCGGACGGGUGAGUAAUGCGUAGGAAGCUACCCAAUAGAGGGGGAUACCAGUUGGAAACGACUGUUAAUACCGCAUAAUGUCUACGGACCAAAGUGUGGGACCUUCGGGCCACAUGCUAUCGGAUGCGCCUACGUGGGAUUAGCUAGUUGGUGGGGUAAUGGCUCACCAAGGCGACGAUCCCUAGCUGGUUUGAGAGGAUGAUCAGCCACACUGGAACUGAGACACGGUCCAGACUCCUACGGGAGGCAGCAGUGGGGAAUAUUGGACAAUGGGCGCAAGCCUGAUCCAGCCAUGCCGCGUGUGUGAAGAAGGCCUUCGGGUUGUAAAGCACUUUCAGUAGGGAGGAAGCGUUGUGUGUUAAUAGUACACAGCGUUGACGUUACCUACAGAAGAAGCACCGGCUAACUCUGUGCCAGCCGCCGCAGUAAAAC